rnacentral:rRNA from 1 species
UACGUAGGCAGCGAGCGUUGUUCGGAAUUACUGGGCGUAAAGAGUGUGUAGGCGGUGCUCUAAGUUCGGUGUGAAAUCUCCUGGCUUAACUGGGAGGGUGCGCCGGAAACUGGAGUGCUCGAGCGUGGGAGAGGAAAGCGGAAUUCCUGGUGUAGCGGUGAAAUGCGUAGAUAUGUCACAGAACACCAAUUGCGAAGGCAGCUUACUAAGCUAUGAUUAACGCUGAGGCACGAAAGCGUGGGGAUCAAACAGG